GGCGCACGGGUGCGCACCGCGUAUGGAACCUACCUUUUACAGGGGGAUAGCCCAGGGAAACUUGGAUUAAUACCCCGUAGUACCCAUUUCCGGCAUUGGGGAUGGGUUAAAGGCUUCGGCCGGUAGAAGAUGGCCAUGCGUCCCAUUAGCUGGUUGGUAAGGUAACGGCUUACCAAGGCGACGAUGGGUAGGGGCCCUGAGAGGGGGAUCCCCCACACUGGUACUGAGACACGGACCAGACUCCUACGGGAGGCAGCAGUGAGGAAUAUUGGACAAUGGGCGGGAGCCUGAUCCAGCCAUGCCGCGUGCAGGAAGAAUGCCCUAUGGGUAGUAAACUGCUUUUAUACGGGAAGAAAAAGGGAUACGUGUAUCCUACUGACGGUACCGUAAGAAUAAGGACCGGCUAACUCCGUGCCAGCAGCCGCGGUAAUACGGAGGGUCCGAGCGUUAUCCGGAAUUAUUGGGUUUAAAGGGUCCGUAGGCGGGCCGGUAAGUCAGAGGUGAAAGUCUGCAGCUCAACUGUAGAACUGCCUUUGAUACUGCUGGUCUUGAGUUAUGGUGAAGUUGCCGGAAUAUGUAGUGUAGCGGUGAAAUGCAUAGAUAUUACAUAGAACACCGAUUGCGAAGGCAGGUGACUAACCGUAUACUGACGCUGAUGGACGAAAGCGUGGGGAGCGAACAGGAUUAGAUACCCUGGUAGUCCACGCCGUAAACGAUGGAUACUAGCUGUCCGGUACCUUGAGUACUGGGCGGCCAAGCGAAAGUGAUAAGUAUCCCACCUGGGGAGUACGUUCGCAAGAAUGAAACUCAAAGGAAUUGACGGGGCCCGCACAAGCGGUGGAGCAUGUGGUUUAAUUCGAUGAUACGCGAGGA
rnacentral:rRNA from 1 species